UAGAGUUUGAUCAUGGCUCAGGAUGAACGCUAGCGGCGGGCUUAAUACAUGCAAGUCGAGGGGCAGCAUGGGUCUUCGGACCUGAUGGCGACCGACGGACGGGUGCGUAACGCGUAUGCAACUUGCCGACAACAGGGAGAUAGCCCGGAGAAAUUCGGAUUAAUAUUUCAUAAUGCAGGGGUACCGCCUGGUACUAUUUGCUAAAGAUUUAUCGGUUGUUGAUAGGCAUGCGUCUGAUUAGUUAGUCGGUGGGGUAAGAGCCUACCAAGGCAGCGAUCGGUAGCUGGUCUGAGAGGAUGAUCCCCCACACUGGAACUGAGACACGGUCCAGACUCCUACGGGAGGCAGCAGUAAGGAAUCUUGGUCAAUGGGUGCGAGCCUGAACCAGCCACGCCGCGUGUUAGAAGAAGGCCCUCAGGGUUGUAAAUAACUUUUAUACGGGAAGAAUGGCUCUCAUGCGUGAGAGAGGAGACGGUACCGUACGAAUAAGGACCGGCUAACUACGUGCCAGCAGCCGCGGUAAUACGUAGGGUCCAAGCGUUAUCCGGAAUCACUGGGUUUAAAGGGUGCGUCGGCGGCUUAGUAAGUUUGGGGUGAAAGUCUGUCGCUUAACGAUAGAAUGGCCUCGGAUACUGCUAAGCUAGAGUAUAGCAGAGGAAAGCAGAAUUCGUGGUGUAGCGGUGAAAUGCAUAGAUACCACGAGGAAUACCGAUAGCGAAGGCCGCUUUCUGGGCUAUUACUGACGCUUAGGCACGAAAGCGUGGGGAGCGAACAGGAUUAGAUACCCUGGUAGUCCACGCUGUAAACGAUGGAUAUUCGGUGUCGGUACAAUUGGGUGCCUGCGCCUGAGUGAAGCGUAAAUAUCCCACCUGGGGAGUACGUCGGCACGAUGAAACUCAAGGAUUGACGGGGUCCGCACAGCGUGGAGUAUGUGGUUAAUCGAUGAUACG
rnacentral:rRNA from 1 species